CACGUAGGCGGCAAUGCAAGUCGCAGGUGAAAGCCCUCGGCUCAACCGAGGAACUGCCUGCGAAACUACGUUGCUUGAGUCCGGGAGGGGGGAGCGGAAUUCCCAGUGUAGCGGUGAAAUGCGUAGAUACUGGGAGGAACACCGGUGGCGAAGGCGGCUCCCUGGACCGGUACUGACGCUGAGGUGCGAAAGCGUGGGUAGCAAACA
rnacentral:rRNA from 1 species